rnacentral:rRNA from 1 species
UACGUAGGGUGCGAGCGUUGUCCGGAAUUAUUGGGCGUAAAGGGCGCGUAGGCGGUUUGACCAGUCAGGUGUGAAAUUCCCGGGCUUAACCUGGGGGCUGCACUUGAUACUGUCAGGCUUGAAUUCGGGAGAGGAUAGCGGAAUUCCCAGUGUAGAGGUGAAAUUCGUAGAUAUUGGGAGGAACACCGGUGGCGAAGGCGGCUAUCUGGACCGACAUUGACGCUGAGGCGCGAAAGCGUGGGGAGCAAACAGG